rnacentral:rRNA from 1 species
CCAGUUCAUGCUUUUACAGUAUGAAAAUUGGUGAUUUAUAAUAACUUAGCAAAUCGCAAAGUGAAAACAGGCGAUAAAUCAUUCAAGUUUCUGACCUAUCAGCUUUCGACGGUAUGGUAUUGGCUUACCGUGGCAGUGACGGUUAACGGGGGAUUAGGGUUCGAUUCCGGAGAGGGAGCCUGAGAAACGGCUACCACAUCUAAGGAAGGCAGCAGGCGCGCAAAUUACCCAAUUCUAACAGUUUGAGAGAGGUAGUAACAAGAAAUAACAAUACAAGGCAGUUAAAAUGCUUUGUAAUUGGAAUGAUAGAAAUUUAAACCCUUUUUAAAGUAUCAAUUGGAGGGCAAGUCUGGUGCCAGCAGCCGCGGUAAUUCCAGCUCCAAUAGCGUAUAUUAAAAUUGUUGCAGUUAAAAAGCUCGUAGUUGAAGUUCUGCUGAAAGUAACCGGUCUGCUUUUAAUAAAAGUGGUAUCUUGGUAUGUAUUUAGCAAUGAUGUCCUUUGAAGUGUUUUUUACUUUAUUGUAAUAAAGCAUAUUCAGGACUUUUACUUUGAGAAAAUUAGAGUGUUUCUAGCAGGCUAACGCUUUGAAUACUGCAGCAUGGAAAUAAUA